rnacentral:rRNA from 1 species
UGGGGAAUAUUGCACAAUGGGCGCAAGCCUGAUGCAGCCAUGCCGCGUGUAUGAAGAAGGCCUUCGGGUUGUAAAGUACUUUCAGUCGGGAGGAAGGUGUCAAGGUUAAUAACCUUUGCUCAUUGACGUUACCCGCAGAAGAAGCACCGGCUAACUCCGUGCCAGCAGCCGCGGUAAUACGGAGGGUGCAAGCGUUAAUCGGAAUUACUGGGCGUAAAGCGCACGCAGGCGGUUGAUUGAGUCAGAUGUGAAAUCCCCGGGCUUAACCCGGGAAUUGCAUCUGAUACUGGUCAGCUUGAGUCUCGUAGAGGGGGGUAGAAUUCCAGGUGUAGCGGUGAAAUGCGUAGAGAUCUGGAGGAAUACCGGUGGCGAAGGCGGCCCCCUGGACGAAGACUGACGCUCAGGUGCGAAAGCGUGGGGAGCAAACAGG